rnacentral:rRNA from 1 species
CCUACGGGAGGCAGCAGUGGGGAAUUUUGGACAAUGGGGGCAACCCUGAUCCAGCCAUUCCGCGUGAGUGAAGAAGGCCUUCGGGUUGUAAAGCUCUUUCAGCUGGAACGAAACGGUACGCUCUAACAUAGCGUGCUAAUGACGGUACCGGCAGAAGAAGCACCGGCUAACUACGUGCCAGCAGCCGCGGUAAUACGUAGGGUGCGAGCGUUAAUCGGAAUUACUGGGCGUAAAGCGUGCGCAGGCGGAUUGUUAAGCAAGAUGUGAAAUCCCCGGGCUUAACCUGGGAAUGGCAUUUUGAACUGGCAGUCUAGAGUGCGUCAGAGGGGGGUGGAAUUCCACGUGUAGCAGUGAAAUGCGUAGAGAUGUGGAGGAACACCAAUGGCGAAGGCAGCCCCCUGGGAUGACACUGACGCUCAUGUACGAAAGCGUGGGUAGCAAACAGGAUUAGAUACCCUGGUAGUCACGCCCUAAACGAUGUCAACUGGUUUGUUGGGGGAGUGAAAUCCCUUAGUAACGAAGCUAACGCGUUGAAGUUUGAACCGCCUUGGGGGAGUUCGGGUCCCCAAGAUUUAAAACUCAAAGGGAAUUUGACCGG